AUUGAACGCUGGCGGCAUGCCUUACACAUGCAAGUCGAACGGUAACGCGGGGCAACCUGGCGACGAGUGGCGAACGGGUGAGUAGUGCAUCGGAACGUGCCCAAUAGUGGGGAGUAGCCCGGCGAAGACCGGAUUAAUACCGCAUACGACCUAUGGGUGGAAAGACGGGGGAGUCGCAAGACCUCGCGCUAUUGGAGCGGCCGAUGUCAGAUUAGGUAGUUGGCGGGGUAAGGACCCACCAAGCCUGCGAUCUGUAGCUGGUCUGAGAGGACGACCAG
rnacentral:rRNA from 1 species